rnacentral:lncRNA from 1 species
UGGCAUAUGGGAAAGUCAUUGUAUAUUAUUAAUAUCCUUUGAUGUAUAUUAUUAUGACUUUCUCACGGUAGUAAUGUUGUUGGUUUUUAUUAAUGUUAUUUUUAUAGCAAUGCUAAUAUUAUGAGCUAAAAGUUUCUGAGCAUCUGCUGGGUGCCAAAAAUUCUUAUAAAUGCUUUACAUGCAUUAGCUCCUAACAACACUUUGAAGUAAUUCUUAUUGUCCUUACUUGACAUAUACAGGAAUAAAAACCUGACCAUUAGACCGAGCGUGGUGGCUCACGCCUGUAAUCCCAACACUUUGGGAGGCCGAGGCAGGCGGAUCACCUGAGGUCAGGAGUUUGAGACCAGCCUGGCCACCAUGGUGAGACCCCGUCUCUACUAAAAACACACAAAAAAUUAGCCGGGCGUGGUGGUGGGUACUUGUAAUCUCAGCUACCCGGGAGGCUAAUGCAGGAGAAUCGCUUGAACCCAGGAGGCGGAGGUUGCAGUGAGCCAAGAUUGCGCCAUUGCACUCCAGCCUGGGCAACAAGAGCAAAACUCUUUCAAAUAAACAAACAAAACCUAAGCAUUUGAGGGGUUUGGCCUGGGCAGUGGAGCUUGUGAGCUAUAUGAGCUGGAAUCUGAGUCAAGGCUGGGCUGGUGAAAGGAGUUCACUCAAGUUCCCAAGGUAUUCUGUCCUCCAGGACUCUGAAUCACCUGGGAGGAGAAGGAAUUGUGGCGGGCCUAACACCUUUUCUUUCCCAAACACCAAGAGCAGGUUCUUUCUGUUACAUCCAUUGAGGUCACAUUCUUGAAGUGCAUUUUGAGGAAGUCAUUAUUUUCGCUACAGCAGGGACUGAUGUAUCAGUCUAUUAGAAUUCAGAAAAAAGUAAGCAAACAAAAAACGUGUUGGAAUUAUUCUCUUCUAGCAUUUUGAAAUGUACAAUGGUUAAUGUUAACUAUAGCCACCAUGAUGUAUUGAAGACCAGGUCUUAUUCUUUUUAUCUAACUGUACAUUUGUACCCAUUAACCUAAUGCUCAUAGCAUCAAGAAAAGAUCAAUAUUUAAGGUGACAAAUAUCCCAAUUAUGCUGAUUUGAUUAUAUGAAUGUGUUGAAUUAUCAUAUGUACUCCCAAAAUAUGCACAUCUAAGAUGUAUCAAUAAAAAUAAAGACAAAAAUUAAAGCUUUUACAGUAGAAAAAAGGUUUUAGAGAAAUUAUGAUUACUUGAUUCACCUAAACUGACAGUCUUGCUUGGAAUGAAUUACUGCUUUUUGUAACAUAGUUUUAGAAGAGAGAUUCACAUUUAAUGUUACUUUGUGCUAAGCACUGUAAUCCAUGCCUGGGUGCUCACAGCGCUCCUCUGGGACCAGGCAUCACCAUCUCCUCUGUAAAAGGAAGGUCAGCCUGUUGCCAAGACCACAGGAUAAACGGCUUGGCUGAUUUAGGAAACCCAGUUGGUCUUAUGACAAAACAUGCGCAUUUGCCCUUCACCAGGUGAUUUUUCUGUAGGGUUAUCUUCAACAGUCCGACAAAGCUGUGUUCCACCAGCUCAGGCAGGCUGUGACCAGGAUCACCAGCCAUGUGGCAUCAGGAAGAAGGGGCUGUGUGGCCAGGCUCAAUCUCUGGUCCUGCAGCCUUCUGCCUUUGGCUUUCUGAAGCGAGCUGAACUAGAGAUUGGGCCCAGCUCGGCAGCGCAGUUUCAGGAGAGCCAGGAUACAAACCAUCCCAGUCUCUGUUCCCACAAAGGAGAAGCUAAACCAUUUUUUAUUUGCCCAUUCUAAGUGCUAAGUGAUAUGCAACUGCUUCACAUAAGCCUUCCAGCCUUCCAGCCGACUCUGCUUUCAGGAGAUAUCCUUAUGUCCCUUUUGCAUGGCUUAGGAGAGUGAAGCACGUGAGAAUUGAACGAGGGGUCAAGGGUCACAUAACACAUGAGCACGAAACCGGGACUCUCCUGGGGUAUCAGACCCCAAAGCCAGUGGUCUGCGCUUGAUCUUUGCUAACGUCCGAGAAGCAAUAAGUCCAGGGCUCUUGACACAUUAUUGUGCAUUUUACUUUGGGAGGGACUGUGGGUCCACUCUGCUUUUAACAGGAGGAAAUUAAAUAUUUACAUUUGAUUCCAGUUUGGCCCCAUGACUGUCCGGCUUCUUUCCUGUCAAAGGCCCAAAUUCCCUGUUUUAAAGUAGAGGGUGAAUUUGUGUAAUGAGGAUGGAUCGGGCACGUGUAGAACACACUCUUUCACCUGCAGAUUCACACUCCAAACACAAAGAAAUACUGGAUCAUAUAUGGUAUAUUUUAAAAGAUGCCAUAGGCAUACUUAAAAAGCACAACAGAAUUCUAUUUUCUCACGUCAGAGGGCAGAGUCUUAUGAGCUAUUGAGAGGAAAACUGUAUCUUAGGGGUUGAGAGCCUAACGUCUGCUUGGGGGUGUUUGUGGCCCUGGCAGCUGUUGUGUGCAGUGCACAUUAGAACUGAGCAGCUUUAUAAAGCCAGGAACAAGGGUAGAGUCCCUGUGUCUCUGAAUAGAAAUUAGCGAUGCUUAGCCUUCUGUACCAAGGAAUGCAUCACAAAAGCUAAUGCUGGGACUGGGCCUGGUGUGGGAUAGGAGUCACACAGAGGAGUCAGAACGCCAACUGUGGCUGGUGUAAGGGGCCUCCAUUCACACUGUCUUUGCUGUUUGGAAAAUCUGAGCAAGAAUUUAAGGUAAAAGCUGAUGUGGAACAGCUUGCAACCCAAAAGUCUCAAGCCCAGCAUAAAAAUCAUUGCUCCAGUGAAGAUGCCUGCAGAGCUCAAGGCAUUUCUGAGACUCCAUGGGAGAAUGAUUCCUAAGGAAGGUGUGCCCCCAGCACCUGUGGAGACUCAUCACCUUGAGGGCAAACAGACUCUGUAAAAGGAGAAUUCACCUCUAAGGAGCUGCAGACAAUAGAGGGAUUAAAAUGGGCCUUUGAUCAUUCAAAAAGCAUUUUAAAGGAAAAAAUAAAGUAACAUAAUCCAAAUUCCAACAGGAGACUUGAAAAAGAAGGUAAUAACAAAAUGGAAAAUAAAGUCACUGAAAUAAAGCAAGUGAGUUGGACUAUGAAUGUCUCCUGUCCAUUAGCUGUGUCCCCGGCUGCAAGGUCCAUGGGGACUGUGCCUCCCUUGACCUUGAAUCUCAAUGCCUUAGCAAAGUGCCUGGUUCUGGGUAGGUUCACAGUACACAUGUACCUCCCAAAUGGAUGGAUUGCCAACUUAAAUGUUCAUAGGAAGGUGCUAUUUUCAGGCACUUCAGGUGUGGACAUCGGUGUUGUCAGAUCUUUUCUGUUCUAGCCAGGCAUUGUGGACAUCACCUUACUAUGUGAGGGAACAAGCUGCAUUGGUGGAGAGGAAACCAGCAGGAGCACAAUAGUGACCCAUUUCUCUUGUCUUAUGCACUGCAGUGGAAAUAGCCCAGUGUGCAUGGUGGAUUUUAUUAUGGUGCCAGUAGAAAGAUAGGGGGUUUCCUCUAUGAGCUGGCUGACUUACAUGAGCUCAUUCUCUGCAGCAUUUCUCUAGCCAUCUCCUGUCACAUCGUUUAUUGUGUUCACUAGUCCUGUGCUAACGAGGAUCUUUGAAAAAUGACUGGUAUGGUAAUGAUCUACGGAACUUACUGUAGAUAGCAAUUAAAUAUCGUUAACGGCGGGUUACGCUGACACAUUAAAAGGCCUACAGGCUGCGAUUUAUGAAGACAGCUCUGCUGCCUCCUUUGUAUGUGAUGCAUUUCUCUGGUUUCGGCUUAGGCUGUCUGGUCUCAGAAGGGAAUGAUUUCCAGGCUUUCCCCAUCAUCACUCCAGUUGCCAGGCCACCCACAAUCACAUUAGCAAGCUUUAUUGUCCCUAUUGCACCUCCUAAUGCCCUCAGGGUGCUUGAGGUAGCUUUUAUCAAGGUAAGGCCUAGGUCAACAUUUUGUUGUGCAGAAAAGGCAUCUGCUUUCAGAGGAGAAAAUUUAGAUACAAUAUUGAGGUGAAUCUUAUAAGUGAUGUAAGAUAAUUUGAUGACAAGAAUUGAGAUUAUAUGCUGAGAUCUUACUGUCUUAAACUUUGUUGAUUUCUGAAAAUAAUAGAAAUGCAAUCCUAGCUAAAGGAAGAGAAGUAGUCUAGCUCACCAGUGGCCAGCAAACUCUGUAAAGAAGUAUUGCCUUCAUGCAGCAAUCUCACCUAAUAUGAGACUCCAGAUAGAAGAUAGCUCCUGAGAAGUCAAAACACAAACCAAUAUCAUGUAAAUUACUCUCACGUGAAAAAUAGACAAGAGAUAACCAACCCAGUCCCAACCGUCUCACACCCCCACUGGCCUCCUGCACUCAUGGAUGCCACAUUCUUCAACAUUUGUACUUCUGUUAACAGAGUUAAAGUAGAGCAAACAUAGGCUCUUUUACCAAGAGCGUAUGGACUAAAUACAGAUGCAAUGCUAAUAACCACAUGGGAAAAACAAGAUCCUGAGACACUGUUAUGUUUUUCUCCCUCUUUUGUGGCCAAGAGUGUGUGCUCUCUUGCCUUUGUAGAUUUUGCUCACGUUUUUGGGUGAUAGGACCAAAAGCAGUAGUGUCUAGGCCACUAGGAGACAAGGCAAACCAUUAUCUGUGAAAGCCUGGGUUUUCUGAGAGGAAGCAUGCUGGACACUGCCAGUAGAGGGAGAAGUCAUGGUGUGAAGUUUUCCAUGAUGAGAGAUAAGGACAGCUAGGGCAUGGGGAUGCAGAGGAUGUUCUUGUUGUUGAUGGUGUUGUGGAGGUUGUACCCCAAGUCUCUGGGAUAAGACAGCCCCAUGCACAUAGAGGUCAUGAAAAAUGUGAGGACCCUGGACACUGAGUGUCACGGCUUUGGGGACAGUGAUGACAUGUCCCUGUGUCCAAACAGCUCAGUCAGCUUAUCUAAAAGGGAUGGAGAGUACUUCUGUGGGAACAGUUGGAGCUGAAGAACAGAGAACAUUUCCUUUGAUGUUUGGACUCUACGGAAUCUUUGGGAAUUGUGUUCAAGUCCAGGAGGAAUGGCUGAAAACAUGAUUGAGAUAAAUUUGCAGCCAGGAGGUUGAAGACAAAUUAGGAUCUGAUUUUAUUCAACUGGGAGUAACCAUGGCCAAGCAUAAUUCUUCUGGUGGAUUCUGAAGUUAUUUGGAAUUUGCCCAUAAGAUGAAUUUUCCUGAAGAAGGAAGGAUGUGGAGGCUGAUACUGAGGCCCCAUUUCCACAUGUGAACUUCUAAGAAACCACAGCUUUCAUCCAGAGUGGAGAUGAAUGGCACUGGGGUCCACGUUGCCAGAAUGCCUGGGGACAAGGAAUGAGGACUUGUCACCCAAGGCACGAGAUCCAUAGUGGCUACGGGAAUGAAGCCACUGCCUUUGUGGAAAUGACUAAUUCACCCAAAUCCAAGGUGUUUUCCACAACUGAGAGGCCUGGGCUGAGGAUAGAGAUUUGAGCCUUAACUGAGACAUCCUACUGGGAAGUUGCAUCAGUGGUCAGUAUCUGAGGCCACAGAAAAUGUCACAUGAUGGUGUGUCACAGGGCUCCACAUUUAGGACAUUUGUGUACUCAAAGAGAAUCUUUGACGACCAUGACUCAGAGAAAUUUUUAAUGACUUAAAACAGGUUUUGGAUCAUGUUGAUGAUGACAGAUGGUGCAAGCCACCUACCUAAAUCCCUCUGGGGAGGGGUGGUAUUUCUGCAUUGUUCUCAGAGCAGAAAUGUGACAUGGAUGUGGAGGCUCUGGACAGUGAGAUGUGAAGCUGGAGGCAUGGCUUGGCCUCCCUAGAAUGGGUGUGGCCAGGGCAAAGCUGGGACAUCCUCAACCCAAAGGUUUGCAUAACUGGAUUUGAACUCCUUAUAGAUAUUCCUAAACAGUGGUGAUACGGAAGGGAGAGGAGGAGGAAAAAAGGAUGGCUCUUCAUCAAGAGCAAAAGCAAGAGAUUCAGAUAGGAGAUUUCACUUGGCUUUUCUAGUCUUGGGUGGGGACCCAUUAUGGAAGUGAAGAGCUCUGGAAUCUUCCAGAGAAACAAGCAUGGGUAUCCUUUAACAGGUCCCAGAUAGCCAGUUACCGCAGAACAAUGUCCUGUUACCAGAAGCUUAUUGCAGACCUUGUAACCUGAAUCAUUGUGUUGGCCCAGGGCACACCCAGGAGGGUGGCUUGGGAAGGAGAUUCCAGGCUGAGGUAAAUACCGACAUCUGAUUUCCUGACAUUGAGUAGGAAAGCAUUUCAGAGACAAGCUCCAAGAGCUCUCCAGCAAGUCAGCCU